rnacentral:rRNA from 1 species
AUCUGACCUCGAAUCAGGUGGGACUACCCGCUGAACUUAAGCAUAUCAAUAAGCGGAGGAAAAGAAACUAACAAGGAUUCCCCUAGUAACGGCGAGUGAAGCGGGAUGAGCUCAA